rnacentral:rRNA from 1 species
UACGUAGGGCGCAAGCGUUUGUCCGGAAUUUAUUGGGCGUAAAGAGCUCGUAGGCGGCCUGUUGCGUCCGCUGUGAAAUCCCGGGGCUCAACCCCGGGCCUGCAGUGGAUACGGGCUGGCUAGAGGCAGGCAGGGGAGAACGGAAUUCCUGGUGUAGCGGUGAAAUGCGCAGAUAUCAGGAGGAACACCGGUGGCGAAGGCGGGUCUCUGGGCCGAUACUGACGCUGGAGGAGCGAAAGCGUGGGGAGCGAACAGG